rnacentral:sRNA from 1 species
GAACGUCGCGAAGAUUCUUGUGGUGGGAUGGCGCAUGGGCAAGGUGGUGUAACCACCGGGCGAAAGCUCCCAUGCGCGGUAAGCAGGCUCCACACGGGGCCUUUUUUUAUGCCCGCGU